UUUCAACCUUCACUACUGAUGUUUUUAAAACCAAAGUAAUGCAAAAAUGCAUAUAUUUAUAAUGAGACUGUGCAUAUAUACUGUAUAUGUUUCUGGUCUUACUGUUUUUUCUAUCAUCUCUCUCUCUUCAGAAUGCGCCAGUCAUCGAGAGUUAAGCCAGUGCAGAUGAAUGGAAAUACAAGAGGUAGAAAAAGCUUUUGAUUCGGCUCUGAGCACAGAGUUCGGUUCUCCUGAGAUGUGAAUUAUGAAAUGCUCAGACCGAUUUAAACAGAAAAAUAGGAGAGGUGAAGACAGUACAGACACAGGAGAAUUACCCACAAUGCUCCACUCUGCCCCAAUUAACUAAGACAAAUGGGCCGCAUGUAUUAGCCUGACACAUCAAAAUAGAGGGCACGUCACUCCGUGAACCGGGACGCCGGAUCAGCUCCACAGCUGGUGAAAGUCAAGCAGGAAUGCCGAUUAUUAGUCUGCAGUGGGAAACCGUGUUGACGGCGGUAAAGGAGAAACCAGAGACCCUUCAAAGCUUCGGAGACGGUCUUCUUCAUCAGCCUCGGAUGAAAGCCACAACGGCCUGACGGGCAGAUGAAGAGGAGAAUUAGAAUCAGAUACAGAAAAAGAGUGAGAGAAAGAGGGAAUGCUGCAAAAACCUCUAAUGACUCUGGGGUCUUUGGAAGGUCAUCAAGAGUGAAAUAUGAAUUUAUUAAUUUCCAGCCAUCGAAAGCUGAGUCAGAAUCAAAACCAGAGAGAUGAGGAUAAUGAAAAGAAUAACUGACAGAAUCUCAGUUUCUCUCCAUCAGAAGUCACAUCUAAAGGGAAGCACCACAGACACACAGGCAGAUGAAGCACAGAGCUAGAGAUCGGGUACAACCACAGAAACCUUGAAUAUGGUAUAAAAACCCCAGUUCCACACUUCCAUUUCACCCAAAGCUCAGAGGAGCGGCUCUAACCACCCGCGGCGACCGCAAGAGCCCAGCGUUUCUUCCAUUCCAGCAAACCAGCAGGGAGAAAAGCAAGGGAGGAUGAAGAUCAGGGUCACGUCUCUGGAUUGGACUCUCCAUUCAUCACGGGUGUCAGGAUUGGCUGGCGCGGACAUUGAGAUCUGGAGAGAGAGCGUCUGAAAAGACAGAUUUCUAUCUCCUUUCAUGUGUUAAAAAUUUACCGAGGUUAUCCUCAGGAGAUGCAGCCACAGACGAAGACUAGAUGCGAUCGAUAUGGUCAUUUAAAGAGAGAGUGUCAGUAUCCCUGAAGGAGGAGGACGACAUAUACAAACACUGACAAAUGAUGCCAGCCACUCCAUUUAGGCUACACACAACAGCCAACAUGAUCAGGAAGCGCUCUCGCUAAUUACGCUUAAUUGGGUUUUAAUUGGAAAAUGCUGAAUUGCUUGCUUCAGAUUUUAAAUGCUCUCUGGAUUUAAAAGCCCACAAGGGUUUCAUAACAUCAAUAUGGUUUACUGAAUCACACAGUCUCACAAGGCAAACAUACUGUACCUUCAUUUUCAAGUGCACCACCAAAAUACCAUUAAAUGACCAUUUUAACCUUCGUUCAAUGGAUUUCUUGAAGUCCCAGACAUUUUUGAAGGAUGCAGAAGAUGGAAGUGCCUAGAAUAUAAUUAGAUAUAGUCAAAAAUAAAUUACUUGUUUAUUUUGUUCAUAAUGUAAAUGUAAAAACCCGAC
ensembl:lncRNA